AGUGAACGCUGGCGGUAGGCCUAACACAUGCAAGUCGAACGGCAGCACAGUAAGAGCUUGCUCUUACGGGUGGCGAGUGGCGGACGGGUGAGGAGUACAUCGGAAUCUACUUUUUCUUGGGGGAUAACGUAGGGAAACUUACGCUAAUACCGCAUACGACCUACGGGUGAAAGCACGGUUUCUUCGGACCUUUCGCGUUUUUAUGAGCCGAUGUCGGUUUAGCUAGUUGGCGGGGUAAAGGCCCACCAAGGCGACGAUCCGUAGCUGGUCUGAGAGGAUGAUCAGACACACUGGAACUGAGACACGGUACAGACUCCUACGGGAGGCAGCAGUGGGGAAUAUUGGACAAUGGGCGCAAGCCUGAUCCAGCCAUACCGCGUGGGUGAAGAAGGCAUUCGGGUUGUAAAGCCCUUUUGUUGGGAAAGAAAAGCAGCAGGUUAAUACCCCGCUGUUAUGACGGUACCCAAAGAAUAAGCACCGGCUAACUUCGUG
rnacentral:rRNA from 1 species